CCUACGGGUGGCAGCAGUGGGGAAUAUUGGGCAAUGGGCGCAAGCCUGACCCAGCAACGCCGCGUGAAGGAAGAAGGCUCUCGGGUUGGAAACUUCUUUUAGCAGGGACGAAGGAAGUGACGGGAGCGGAUGAAUAAGCAACGGCUAACGACGAGCCAGCAGCCGCGGUAAUACGUAGGUGGCAAGCGUUAGCCGGAUUUACUGGGUGUAAAGGGCGUGUAGGCGGGAAAGCAAGUCAGAUGUGAACACCAUGGGCUCAACCUGUGGCCUGCAUUUGAAACGGUUUUUCUUGAGUACUGGAGAGGCCGUCGGAAUUCCUAGUGUAGCGGUGAAAUUCGUAGAUAUUAGGCGGAACACCAGUGGCGAAGGCGGUCUGCUGGACAGCAACUGACGCUGAGGCGCGAAAGCGUGGGGAGCAAACAGGAUUAGAUACCCUUGUAGUC
rnacentral:rRNA from 1 species